UACGGAGGUCUCAAGCGUUGUUCGGAUUCAUUGGGCGUAAAGGGUGUGUAGGCGGCGCCGUAAGUCGGGUGUGAAAUUUCGGAGCUUAACUCCGAAACUGCAUUCGAUACUGCGGUGCUUGAGGACUGGAGAGGAGACUGGAAUUCAUGGUGUAGCAGUGAAAUGCGUAGAGAUCAUGAGGAAGACCAGUGGCGAAGGCGGGUCUCUGGACAGUUCCUGACACUGAGACACGAAGGCCAGGGGAGCAAACGGG
rnacentral:rRNA from 1 species